rnacentral:rRNA from 1 species
GGGGAAUAUUGGACAAUGGGGGAAACCCUGAUCUAGCCAUGCCGCGUGAUCGAUAAAGGCCUUAGGGUUGUAAAGAUCUUUCAGUGGGGAAGAUAAUGGCUGUACCCACAGAAGAAGCCCCGGCUAACUCCGUGCCAGCAGCCGCGGUAAUACGGAGGGGGCUAGCGUUGUUCGGAAUUACUGGGCGUAAAGCGCACGUAGGCGGAACAGUAAGUCAGAGGUGAAAUCCCAGGGCUCAGCCUUGGAACUGCCUUUGAAACUCCUGUUCUUGAGGUCGAGAGAGGUGAGUGGAAUUCCGAGUGUAGAGGUGAAAUUCGUAGAUAUUCGGAGGAACACCAGUGGCGAAGGCGGCUCACUGGCUCGAUACUGACGCUGAGGUGCGAAAGCGUGGGGAGCAAAC